rnacentral:rRNA from 1 species
CCUACGGGAGGCAGCAGUGAGGAAUAUUGGUCAAUGGGCUUACGCCUGAACCAGCCAAGUCGCGUGAGGGAAGACUGCCCUAUGGGUUGUAAACCUCUUUUGUCAGGGAGCAACGCCGGCUACGUGUAGCCGGACUGAGAGUACCUGAAGAAAAAGCAUCGGCUAACUCCGUGCCAGCAGCCGCGGUCAUACGGAGUAUGCGAGCGUUAUCCGGAUUUAUUGGGUUUAAAGGGUGCGCAGGCGGGCUGUUAAGCCGGCGGUAAAAAUUCAGGGCUCAACCCUGUCGAGCCGUCGGAACUGGCAGUCUUGAGUGGGCGAGAAGUAUGCGGAAUGCGUGGUGUAGCGGUGAAAUGCAGAGAUAUCACGCAGAACGCCGAUUGCGAAGGCAGCAUACCGGCGCCCAACUGACGCUGAGGCACGAAAGCGUGGGGAUCGAACAGGAUUAGAUACCCCAGUAGUC